rnacentral:rRNA from 1 species
AGUGAACGCUGGCGGUAGGCCUAACACAUGCAAGUCGAACGGCAGCACAGUAAGAGCUUGCUCUUACGGGUGGCGAGUGGCGGACGGGUGAGGAAUACAUCGGAAUCUACUUUUUCGUGGGUGAUAACGUAGGGAAACUUACGCUAAUACCGCAUACGACCUACGGGUGAAAGCAGGGGAUCUUCGGACCUUGCGCGAUUGAAUGAGCCGAUGUCGGAUUAGCUAGUUGGCGGGGUAAAGGCCCACCAAGGCGACGAUCCGUAGCUGGUCUGAGAGGAUGAUCAGCGACACUGGAACUGAGACACGGUCCAGACUCCUACGGGAGGCAGCAGUGGGGAAUAUUGGACAAAGGGCGCAAGCCUGAUCCAGCCAUACCGCGUGGGUGAAGAAGGCCUUCGGGUUGUAAAGCCCUUUUGUUGGGAAAGAAAAGCAGCAGGUUAAUACCCCGCUGUUCUGACGGUACCCAAAGAAUAAGCACCGGCUAACUUCGUG